UUGAUCCCGGCUCAGGACGAACGCUGGCGGCGUGCUUAACACAUGCAAGUCGAACGAGACGAUUGAAAGCUUGCUUUUGAAAGUCGAGUGGCAAACGGGUGAGUAACGUGUAGACAACCUGCCGUAAAGAUGGGGACAACAGUCCGAAAGGACUGCUAAUACCGAAUGUUGUAAAUCUUCCGCAUGGAAGACUUACUAAAGGUGGCCUCUACUUGUAAGCUAUCGCUUUACGAUGGGUCUGCGUCUGAUUAGCUGGUUGGUGGGGUAACGGCCUACCAAGGCGACGAUCAGUAGCCGGUCUGAGAGGAUGAACGGCCACAUUGGAACUGAGACACGGUCCAGACUCCUACGGGAGGCAGCAGUGGGGAAUCUUCCGCAAUGGGCGCAAGCCUGACGGAGCAACGCCGCGUGAGUGAAGAAGGGUUUCGACUCGUAAAGCUCUGUUGUCGGGGACGAACGUGGAGACGGCGAAUAGCCGUUUCCAAUGACGGUACCUGACGAGGAAGCCACGGCUAACUACGUGCCAGCAGCCGCGGUAAUACGUAGGUGGCGAGCGUUGUCCGGAAUUAUUGGGCGUAAAGGGAGCGCAGGCGGGAAGGUAAGUCUAUCUUAAAAGUGCGGGGCUCAACCCCGUGAGGGGAUGGAAACUAUCUUUCUUGAGUGCAGGAGAGGAAAGCGGAAUUCCUAGUGUAGCGGUGAAAUGCGUAGAUAUUAGGAGGAACACCAGUGGCGAAGGCGGCUUUCUGGACUGUAACUGACGCUGAGGCUCGAAAGCGUGGGGAGCGAACAGGAUUAGAUACCCUGGUAGUCCACGCCGUAAACGAUGAAUGCUAGGUGUAGGAGGUAUCGACCCCUUCUGUGCCGGAGUUAACGCAAUAAGCAUUCCGCCUGGGGAGUACGGCCGCAAGGCUGAAACUCAAAGGAAUUGACGGGGGCCCGCACAAGCGGUGGAGUAUGUGGUUUAAUUCGACGCAACGCGAAGAACCUUACCAGGGCUUGACAUUGAGUGAAAGGACAAGAGAUUGUCCCCUCUCUUCGGAGACACGAAAACAGGUGGUGCAUGGCUGUCGUCAGCUCGUGUCGUGAGAUGUUGGGUUAAGUCCCGCAACGAGCGCAACCCCUAUCCUUUGUUGCCAGCACGUUAUGGUGGGAACUCAAAGGAGACUGCCGCGGACAACGCGGAGGAAGGCGGGGAUGACGUCAAGUCAUCAUGCCCCUUAUGUCCUGGGCUACACACGUACUACAAUGGGAUGGACAGAGAGCAGCGAAGCCGCGAGGCCAAGCGAACCCCAUAAACCAUCUCCCAGUUCGGAUUGCAGGCUGCAACCC
rnacentral:rRNA from 1 species